rnacentral:rRNA from 1 species
GAAAGCAGGGGAUCGCAAGACCUCGCGCUCAUGGAGCGGCCGAUGUCGGAUUAGCUAGUUGGCGGGGUAACGGCCCACCAAGGCGACGAUCCGUAGCUGGUUUGAGAGGAUGAUCAGCCACACUGGGACUGAGACACGGCCCAGACUCCUACGGGAGGCAGCAGUGGGGAAUUUUGGACAAUGGGGGCAACCCUGAUCCAGCCAUGCCGCGUGAGUGAAGAAGGCCUUCGGGUUGUAAAGCUCUUUCGGCCGGAACGAAAUCGGGCGCGUGAAUAACGCGCCUGGAUGACGGUACUGGAAGAAGAAGCACCGGCUAACUACGUGCCAGCAGCCGCGGUAAUACGUAGGGUGCGAGCGUUAAUCGGAAUUACUGGGCGUAAAGCGUGCGUAGGCGGUUUCGCAAGUCAGAUGUGAAAUCCCCGGGCUUAACCUGGGAACUGCGUUUGAAACUACAAGGC